rnacentral:misc_RNA from 1 species
UUUCCGUAGGUGAACCUGCGGAAGGAUCAUUAAAAGAGAUAUAUUCUUUGUUCUUCGGAUCAAGAAUAAUCCCAACCCUUGUCUAUCAAAACCAAAUUGUUUCUUCGGCGAGUUCACAGAGUAGAAAUGAAUGAACUUUCUUCGGAAUUUUCAUUUAUUUCCCGCUCUUCGCCAGAAGACCCAAACUUAAAAACUAUUUAUCAUAAACUACACAUGUCUGAACAAAACAUAUAUUUAAAUUGGCCUCAUAAACCAAUUAAAAUUUAUUAGCACAACUUUCAACAACGGAUCUCUUGGUUCUGGCAUCGAUGAAGAACGCAGC